CCUACGGGAGGCAGCAGUGAGGAAUAUUGGUCAAUGGCCGAGAGGCUGAACCAGCCAAGUCGCGUGAGGGAAGACGGCCCUACGGGUUGUAAACCUCUUUUGUCGGGGAGCAAAGCGAGUCACGUGUGACUCAUUGAGAGUACCCGAAGAAAAAGCAUCGGCUAACUCCGUGCCAGCAGCCGCGGUAAUACGGAGGAUGCGAGCGUUAUCCGGAUUUACUGGGUGUAAAGGGAGCGUAGGCGGGAGGAUAAGUUGAAUGUGAAAUCUAUGGGCUCAACCCAUAGCUGCGUUCAAAACUGUUCUUCUUGAGUGAAGUAGAGGCAGGCGGAAUUCCUAGUGUAGCGGUGAAAUGCGUAGAUAUUAGGAGGAACACCAGUGGCGAAGGCGGCCUGCUGGGCUUUUACUGACGCUGAGGCUCGAAAGCGUGGGUAGCAAACAGGAUUAGAUACCCCGGUAGUC
rnacentral:rRNA from 1 species